UCUCUUUGUGGGACCAUGUGCUGCGUAGGAGAAGCUGUGUGUAUGCUUAAAGGAUAUAUACUGGUGGAUGCCUCAGAAAUUGAGUAGAUUCAUUCAUUAACACAGAUGAUGCAUGAUUGCCGUUUACUUUUAUCUAAAAUAUUGGUGGGUUAAUGUUGGGUUGUAAGAUAUGACUUUUAACAGUUACACUAUGAUGAAGUGAUUUGAAUUUAUUGUGGGACUGAUUUUGUUUCGUUUAUUUGUCUUUGUUUUGUUUUAAUCAACCAAAGACAAAGGGGUUCCCAUUCUUGUAUGCAUGGUUGACUCUUAAGGUGAUUGGGCACAAUUUGUAGUGGUUUGAGUCAAGUGCGUGUUGGUUUUCUAUUACACUUGUAGUGUUAUUGGUUUUGUGCUGUGAUUUGAGUGAACUCCGUAAUAGUGGAACUGCCAUUGUAUGGGUUUGGGGAACCCUAUGGUCUAUAGUGGGUUAAACUUUUGUGUUCUUUUCGUUUCUUGCCACUUCUUAUUACCAUUUGUGUUUAAUAAAUCUGUUUGUGCUUGCAAGGAAACACACUGUGGUUGUUGCCCUUCUUUUACACCUUCCCCAUUACUUGUAAGGCCUGGGGAGGGUUACACUAUUUUAUACCAACAUGAAUAUACAUUCCUAGACACACUUCUAGAGUCAGAAUCCUGUUGUUCACAUGCACAUAUUCAGGAGGAAUCACAAAAUGACACUGCAACCAUGACAGCACUGUACUCAAACCCUGUAAAUUCCCUCUCUUUGAUGUGGAUUACCACAUGUAUCCAGAGACCACCAACACUAGCAAACAUUACAGGUAUAGAACUUCUCAAUGGAAAACACACUAAAUACUUAACAGUAGUGAUGCUAUGAAUAUUACUUGCACUGUAAACAUAUUUGCAAAACACAACUAUUAACACAUACAGUUCACUCAAAAU